CUCGUGCUAAGUACCAGUAUCACCGACAACGUCUUCGGCUUCCUACAAUAACCGAAAUAUAUUACUGAGUCUUCGACUGAAACAUUAUGAAUUUUUGCAAGAUCCUGCUACUGCUUGUCGCCCUGCUGUUGAGCGUCAGUUUGUCGUCGUCUGGGUUGGUACGACAGCGGAGGAGGUUCCCAGGCGAGCGAAGGCUUGGUAUCACUAACUAUGGCUUCACUUUCUUUGGCAGGAAUGGUUUCGAGAACAGACGUAAAGCUGGCUAAACGUGGCCACGGAACUUGGCUUCUGGUCAUCUGCUUCCAACGAACUGCUUAACCUCCUAUAGUAAUACGACGAAACGAAGCGACAAAGCAAGAAUAGAACAGUAAUACCUAAACAGUGAAUAAAGUAAGGAAGGAAUAGGAGUGUGAGCAUUUAGUGAUGUACCAAUCUGGACUGACAUUGUAGAGUUCCUACAAUAUAUGACUUUCAAAUGAUUUUCUGAUCUUGUUUCCGGAAAUAUAAAAUCAAUGUGUUUAAACUCGCGUUAAUUUUAGCAUCCAGCAGAUUAAGUUUAACAUGAAAAUUAUUCCUAAACACCUUUUUUCCGAAAUCAACCUGUUUUACGAAAAUCCAUUACUUCUCUAUAAAAGUUCUUCGGUGAUUCCCGAGUGGGAGGAACUAUUUGAUAUUAAUGAUAUUAAUUAAUCCUGUUGGAAGCGUGUAUCUACGUAUUUACGUAGUUCACGCGUACUUUGAAAACACAGAGAAAAAUAAAUUCCACGCAGAAAGCUGUUCAUUUUGUUGCUUUGGAGAUGCUAGUCAGUGUUUCAUUUGAUAACUUGUUUUACGAACUAAGGGACAUUAUUAGAAAGCAUUAUACUAUUGUAAACUAGCUCAACAUGUUUGGUAUACUUGCCUGCAGGUUUUCUUGAUUGAGGUUAAUCUCGAUAAUAACGAGGUAAGGUUGCUAGUACCCUUUGAAAGAUGCAUGCUAUUACUCGUUGAUGCUAUUACAUAGAAUAGUAUUAUUGUGUGCCAGUAUUUUUACUUCAUGAGUUGCUAGGCUACAACUGUGAAUUAUUUUAAUCUCAGCUUAGAAGUGUAUGAAUUAAGCUGCUACUAUGAGAUUUACUAUUAAUAACUUUUACUAUAUACUAUUACUAUUAAUGUUUCAUCAAAUUUUCUGCUGUUUUCUGUAAUGACAACAAGGCACAAAUUUUAUGCACUGUUUAUCCAGCGUAUAACGUACGGUAACAUGCUACGGUACGGUAACAUUUCGUACGGUAACAUUUCGUGAAAUUUUAUCUCUUUUAGCCCUAAAUUUGCUUCCUUGAUACUCUGUGCCACUAGAUUACUAAAACCCACCAUGCCGUAACUAUAGGUAACUGAAUUUUAUUAGGCGAUGGCAAGAAAUGAAGCAGCGAAAAAUUCAGAAAUAUUUGUUGGCACAAAAAGUUUCAAAUCUGAUCAAUUAGUAAGUAAAAAAAAUCAGCUAAUCAAGUAGAAUAAUUUCCCUUCUAAUAAAUAGCCUUUUAUGUUUUGAUGCGAUAAUUCGUUAAGCAAAGCAGUCGAUGUAACAAAAAUUUAAUUUCAUCAUUGGAUGACAAACAAUUUCUACGAAAUCCUCGAAUGCAAACAGCAUAAGCACUCUGUCUGAUAUUUUUCAUAGAUUAGAUUCAUUUAUAAAUGAUAUAUAAAAUAUAAAAUUGAUUCAAU